rnacentral:rRNA from 1 species
AUACGGAGGAUCCGGGCGUUAUCCGGAUUUAUUGGGUUUAAAGGGUGCGCAGGCGGCCAUUUAAGUCAGCGGUUAAAUCGUGGGGCUCAACCCCAUUCUGCCGUUGAUACUGGGUGGCUUGAUUGCGGUCGAGGUUGGCGGAAUUCGUUGUGUAGCGGGGAAAUGCAUAGAUAUGACGAAGAACACCGAUUGCGUAGGCAGCUGACCAGACCGCAAAUGACGCUCAUGCACGAAAGUGCGGGGAUCGAACAGGAUUAGAUACCCUGGUAGUCCGCACAGUAAACGAUGAAUACUUGUUUUCGGCGAUAUAAUGUCGGAGGCAAAGCGAAAGCGAUAAGUAUUCCACCUGGGGAGUACGCCGGCAACGGUGAAACUCAAAUGAAUUGGCGGGG